CCCAGUUAAUUGGUUUUUUUUAAAUGCAUGUAAAGUAUAACAUCACUUGUUGAGUAGAAAUUAAAAGUUUUCUUUAUUAUAGAAGAACUUUGCCCCAGUUUUAUCCACAGCGGAAUGUUUGUUGCUCGCUUGGUGAAGAGUAUUUGAUAAUCCACUUGGAGUACAGAAGAAUACACCAACACUUAUCCUGUAAUAGAAACAUAGUAAUAAGAUUACAUAGUUAUUCCCCCUUUUCCCGUAUAUGAACUCAAAAUACUGAAUAUAAAAACGGACAAUGAUCAAU
rnacentral:lncRNA from 1 species